UGAAUUCCCAACCUGCAAUGAGUAGGCCU
rnacentral:piRNA from 1 species